rnacentral:rRNA from 1 species
AGAGUGAACGCUGGCGGCAGGCCUAACACAUGCAAGUCGAACGGCAGCACAGGAGAGCUUGCUCUCUGGGUGGCGAGUGGCGGACGGGUGAGGAAUACGUCGGAAUCUGCCUAUUUGUGGGGGAUAACCUCGGGAAACCGGGACUAAUACCGCAUACGACCUACGGGUGAAAGCGGAGGACCUUCGGGCUUCGCGCAGAUAGAUGAGCCGACGUCGGAUUAGCUAGUUGGCGGGGUAAAGGCCACCAAGGCGACGAUCCGUAGCUGGUCUGAGAGGAUGAUCAGCCACACUGGAACUGAGACACGGUCCAGACU